UACAGAGGUCUCAAGCGUUGUUCGGAUUCAUUGGGCGUAAAGGGUGCGUAGGCGGCGCGGUAAGUCGGGUGUGAAAUUUCGGAGCUUAACUCCGAAACUGCAUUCGAUACUGCCGUGCUUGAGGACUGGAGAGGAGACUGGAAUUUACGGUGUAGCGGUGAAAUGCGUAGAUAUCGUAAGGAAGACCAGUGGCGAAGGCGGGUCUCUGGACAGUUCCUGACGCUGAGACACGGAAAGCCAGGGGAGCAAAACGGG
rnacentral:rRNA from 1 species